rnacentral:snRNA from 1 species
GUGCUCACUUCAGCAGCACAUAUACUAAAAUUGGAACGAUACAAAGAAGAUUAGCAUGGCCCCGUGCGAGGAUGACACGCAAAUUCGUGAAGCAUAUUUUU